rnacentral:hammerhead_ribozyme from 1 species
AUCUAGCUGACGAGUCCCGAAUAGGACAAAGCGCGCGUCAAACUGGAU